rnacentral:rRNA from 1 species
UACGAAGGGGGCUAGCGUUGUUCGGAUUUACUGGGCGUAAAGGGCGCGUAGGCGGUCGUGACAAGUCACUUGUGAAAUCUCCGGGCUUAACUCGGAAAGGUCAAGUGAUACUGUCGGACUAGAGUACAGAAGGGGCAACUGGAAUUCUCGGUGUAGCGGUGAAAUGCGUAGAUAUCGGGAGGAACACCAGUGGCGAAGGCGGCGAUCUGGGCAGAUACUGACGCUGAGGUGCGAAAGCGUGGGGAGCAAACAGG